CCUACGGGCGGCAGCAGUGGGGAAUAUUGGACAAUGGGGGCAACCCUGAUCCAGCCAUGCCGCGUGUGUGAAGAAGGCCCUCGGGUUGUAAAGCACUUUCAGUGAGGAAGAACGCCUGGUGGUUAAUACCCAUCAGGAAAGACAUCACUCACAGAAGAAGCACCGGCUAACUCCGUGCCAGCAGCCGCGGUAAUACGGAGGGUGCGAGCGUUAAUCGGAAUUACUGGGCGUAAAGCGCGCGUAGGUGGCUUGAUAAGCCGGUUGUGAAAGCCCCGGGCUCAACCUGGGAACGGCAUCCGGAACUGUCAAGCUAGAGUGCAGGAGAGGAAGGUAGAAUUCCCGGUGUAGCGGUGAAAUGCGUAGAGAUCGGGAGGAAUACCAGUGGCGAAGGCGGCCUUCUGGACUGACACUGACACUGAGGUGCGAAAGCGUGGGUAGCAAACAGGAUUAGAUACCCCCGGUAGUC
rnacentral:rRNA from 1 species